rnacentral:rRNA from 1 species
AGGACGAACGCUUGCGACGUGCCUAAGAAAUGCAAGUCGAACGGGGUAGCAAUACCUAGUGGCGAACGGUCGCGUAACACGUGGGCAACCUGCCCUGAAGCGGGGGACAACAGCUUGAAAGAGCUGCUAAUACCGCAUGUGUAUCGCUGUGGCAUCACAGAGGAUACAAAGCCGCAAGGCACUUCAGGAUGGGCCCGCGGCCUAUCAGCUUGUUGGUGAGGUAACGGCUCACCAAGGCUUCGACGGGUAGCUGGUCUGAGAGGACGAUCAGCCGGAUUGGGACUGAGAUACGGCCCAGACUCCUACGGGGGGCAGGCAAUUAGGAAUCUUGCACAAUGGGCGAAAGCCUGAUGCAGCGACGUCGCGUGAAGGAUGAAAUCUUUCGGGAUUGUAAACUUCUUUUACCAGGGAAGAAAUCAAUGACGGUACCUGGUGAAUAAGCCCCGGCUAACUACGCGCCAGCAGCCGCGGU